AUCAGUGAACAACAACAACAAAAGAAGGUGCUUACACUUUUAUCCCAUGUGGAUUUCUUUUUAAUAUUUCAGAGCAAUGAACAUAUGGCUGUUACUAUCAGCACUAGUGUAUUUGCGGCGAUGCCUAUCAACAUCCACCAGAGAGCAGGGCAGCUCCAAAACCCACAUCUUUUAUGCUGUGGAAAUUGAUGGAGACAGCAACACAGCCAGCUUCUUGGCCAAACAACAUGGAAUGCAGUUCAUUUCAAAGCCUGUAAGGCUUGUGCAUGAUGUAUAUGAGAGCGAUUUCCAGCAGAGCGAAGCUUAUCACAGAUCCACCUAAAAG
rnacentral:lncRNA from 1 species